rnacentral:rRNA from 1 species
AACGAACGCUGGCGGCAGGCUUAACACAUGCAAGUCGAACGCCCCGCAAGGGGAGUGGCAGACGGGUGAGUAACGCGUGGGAAUCUACCCAGUUCUACGGAAUAACCCAGGGAAACUUGGACUAAUACCGUAUACGCCCUACGGGGGAAAGAUUUUUCGGAAUUGGAUGAGCCCGCGUUGGAUUAGCUAGUUGGUGGGGUAAUGGCCUACCAAGGCGACGAUCCAUAGCUGGUCUGAGAGGAUGAUCAGCCACACUGGGACUGAGACACGGCCCAGACUCCUACGGGAGGAAGCAGUGGGGAAUAUUGGACAAUGGGCGCAAGCCUGAUCCAGCCAUGCCGCGUGAGUGAUGAAGGCUUUAGGGUUGUAAAGCUCUUUCAGUGGGAACGAUAAUGACGGUACCCACAGAAGAAGCCCCGGCUAACUUCGUGCCAGCAGCCGCAGUAACAC